rnacentral:rRNA from 2 species
GGGAUGACGCUGGCGGCGUGCCUAACCAUGCAAGUCGGACGCGAAAGCUCCUUCGGGAGUGAGUAGAGUGGCGCACGGGUGAGUAACGCGUAGGUAAUCUACCUCUGGAUUGGGGAUAACUCUGCGAAAGUGGAGCUAAUACCGAAUGGUCUGGCUUUAUUUCGAUGAAGUCGGUAAAGGAUGCCUCUGCAUAUGCAUCUGUCCAGAGAUGAGCCUGCGUCCCAUUAGCUAGUUGGUAGGGUAAAGGCCUACCAAGGCGACGAUGGGUAGCUGGUCUGAGAGGAUGAUCAGCCACACUGGAACUGGAACACGGUCCAGACUCCUACGGGAGGCAGCAGUGGGGAAUAUUGGGCAAUGGGCGCAAGCCUGACCCAGCAACGCCGUGUGAGGGAUGAAGGCCUUCGGGUCGUAAACCUCUGUCAGAAGGGAAGAACGGGCACAGUUCGAAUAGGGCUGUGUUUUGACGGUACCUUCAGAGGAAGCACCGGCUAACUCCGUGCCAGCAGCCGCGGUAAUACGGAGGGUGCGAGCGUUAUUCGGAAUCACUGGGCGUAAAGGGCGCGUAGGCGGCCUGGUAAGUCAGGGGUGAAAUCCCACGGCUCAACCGUGGAAUUGCCUUUGAAACUGCUGGGCUUGGAUCCUGGAGAGGGUGGCGGAAUUCCUGGUGUAGGAGUGAAAUCCGUAGAUAUCAGGAGGAACACCGGUGGCGAAGGCGGCCGCCUGGACAGGUAUCGACGCUGAGGCGCGAAAGUGUGGGGAGCAAACAGGAUUAGAUACCCUGGUAGUCCACACCGUANACGAUGGAUACUAGGUGUUGGGGGCAUGACCCUCAGUGCCGGAGCUAACGCGU